rnacentral:lncRNA from 1 species
CAAAGGCAAGAGGCCUCUCCACGCCCCUUCAGGGUUUGGGGCAGAAGGAAGCCCCAGUAGACAGGCCUUGAAGCAGGGAACCGGGAUACUCCUGGGCUCCGGGUUAAUCACAGGUGCGGCUCUGUUCAACCCACCCCUGAGGCUGCGUGCGCCCUUUCACUUGUGGGGCAAACACAACCCUCCCACCAAUUUCUGUUGUCGGUGGUUUGAACACUGAGCUGCUCCUCUCCGGAAGGAGUUUAGAUAGUCGCAGGCACCAGCAGGGAAGGGGACAGCGGAGGUGAAAUGAGAGCUGGCGCGGGCUUGUGCCCGAGGAGGAACGGUGUGAGACAGGGCUGGGGGCGGGGCGGCCUGGGAUGAGGACCUGGAGAGGUGAGUCCUUGGAGAGAAGAUCCAGGUGUGUCACUGGAGCCGUCCCAGGAGGGACUGUGGCGCCCGAGAUGCGGCUGGCAUCCGUCUGUUGGGGUCUGAGCUGUGGCGGCCACAGGGCCUGGAGAGGCUGCUGAGGCUGUUUUAAACUGUAACUGGAAGAUCAAAAAGAGUUUAGGGGAAAAUCCACGGCACCUGGACCAGCCCUCCUGGCACUGCCCUCGCAGUGCGGUUUCACAGGGGCUACUGGGAGGUGCGUCUCCCUGCCUGGACCGAGACCGGGACCAAACAGAGAAGCCUGCAGGGCCAGGAGUUCUAUGGAGAUGGCUCCUCCCAGACGGCAGUGGGGACCCUCAGGGUUGGCCACAGGCUUUGGUGAUGUCUGCAGAUAAGAUGAGAUUCUCCAUGUGGUGUUCAGGCCGUUUUCGUGAGGAAUAAGUGAAAAGCGCCUCACACAUGCUGGGGAAAGGCAAUGUCCUAUCCUAAGGCCAUGCUGAUGAUGGGGUGAGGCUGCCUUCCUGAGCCCCACCCUCCACAUCUGACCACACCUAACUCCAAACCUCUACCCACACUGCUGCCUGGCUCUGCGGGGCCGUCACCGGGCGUCGGACGGACAAUCCCAGCCUCACCCCUGCACAACCUGCUCUCCCCACUGCCUGGCUCUGUGGGGUGAGUAAACCGCAGGACUCUGAGCCUCACUUGCCCUUCUGGAAAGCAGCAGUGGGAGGGUUCCCUCAUGUUUAAGCUCCUCCCACGGUUUUUGUGACAGUCACACGUGGUGUCAGACAUCGGAGUGUGUGCAUAAACGCAAAUCGAGGCUGCUCUUGCUGCUGUUAGGACAAGGUUUUGGUCCUGAAUGCUCUGCACUUUUGAUUCUGUGAAUGAAAUAAUCCACUUUAAGGAUUAUCUGUAGUGAAGCCCUUCGUACCCUGAACAUUUUUGUGUUCUUCUGGCAGCACCAGGCUGCUGCCUCAGCCCAGGGAGGGAA